rnacentral:rRNA from 1 species
AUUGAACGCUGGCGGCAUGCCUUACACAUGCAAGUCGAACGGCAGCAUGGAGAGCUUGCUCUCUGAUGGCGAGUGGCGAACGGGUGAGUAAAGCAUCGGAACGUACCGUGUAGUGGGGGAUAACGUAGCGAAAGUUACGCUAAUACCGCAUACGACCUGAGGGUGAAAGCAGGGGAUCGCAAGACCUUGCGUUAUACGAGCGGCCGAUGUCAGAGUAGCUAGUUGGUGAGGUAAAGGCUCACCAAGGCGACGAUCGGUAGCGGGGCUGAGAGGAUGAUCCGCCACACUGGGACUGGAACACGGCCCAGACUCCUACGGGAGGCAGCAGUGGGGAAUUUUGGACAAUGGGGGCAACCCUGAUCCAGCCAUGCCGCGUGAGUGAAGAAGGCCUUCGGGUUGUAAAGCUCUUUCGGCCGGGAAGAAAUCGCACAGGCUAAUACCCUGUGUGGAUGACGGUACCGGCAUAAGAAGCACCGGCUAACUACGUGCCAGCAGCCGCCGUAACAC